GGAGAGAUAGCGAAGAGGCUAAACGCGGCGGACUGUAAAUCCGCUCCUUCGGGUUCGGGGGUUCGAAUCCCUCCCUCUCCA
rnacentral:tRNA from 2 species